GGUGAAAGCAAAAAGGGCACAAGGUGGAUGCCUAAGCACCAAAUGGCGAAGAAGGACGUGGCGAACUGCGAAAAGCCUCGGUGAGCUGUAAGCGAGCUUAGACCCGGGGAUAUCCGAAUGGGGCAACCUGGCAGGUGGAAGACCUGUCAUUCCGCGAGGAAGGCGAACGGCGUGAACUGAAACAUCUUAGUAGCGCCAGGAAGAGAAAAUAAGAAUGAUUCCCUCAGUAGUGGCGAACGAACGGGGAAGAUGCCUAAACCGGUCUUAAGGCCGGGGUAGAGGGACAGCGUUGUCUGGAUAUUACUUAUAGACGAACCGAUCUGGAAAGGUCGACCGGAGGGGGUGACAGUCCCGUAGUUGAAAUAGGUAAUAUUUGGUAGCUGGAUCCCGAGUAGCCCGGGGCACGAGAAAUCCUGGGUGAAUCUGCGAGGACCAUCUCGUAAGGCAAAAUACAUUUGGUGACUGAUAGCGUAGCAGUACCGUGAGGGAAAGGUGAAAAGCACCCCGGGAGGGGAGUGAAAUAGAACCUGAAACCUUGUGCUUACAAGCGGUCAGAGCAGGCGUCAACUAUUGGAAGUUGGGAGGUUGAGAGGUCAUUCUCAGCUAUUAACUUUCAAUAGUUGACGCCUGUGAUGGCGUGCCUUUUGCAUAAUGAGCCAACGAGUUAAUGUCAUAAGCGAGGUUAAGUAUUAGAGGUAUGUAGCCGUAGCGAAAGCGAGUCCGAAGAGGGCGUAUAAGUUUAUGGUAUUAGACCCGAAACCAGGUGAUCUACCUAUGGUCAGGUUGAAAGUUGGGUAAAACCAACUGGAGGACCGCACCAACCGUCGUUGAAAAGGCGGUGGAGGAACUGUGGGUAGGGGUGAAAGGCCAAACAAACCUGGAGAUAGCUGGUUCUCUCCGAAACAUAUUUAGGUAUGGCCUCAGUGGAGAUUAUUGGAGGUAGAGCACUGAAUGGGCUAGGGGGCUUACACGCUUACUGAACCCAAUCAAACUCCGAAUGCCGAUAAUUGCUCACUGGGAGACAGGGCGCGGGCGAUAAGGUUCGCGUGCGAGAGGGGAACAACCCAGACUGUCAGCUAAGGCCCCGAAAUAGAUACUUAGUGCGUAAGGAUGUUCAAUUGCCCAGACAGCCAGGAUCUUGGCUUAGAAGCAGCCAUGAUUUAAAGAGUGCGUAACAGCUCACUGGUCGAGUGGUAGGGCACCGAAGAUAAUCGGGACUGAAGUAUCUUGCCGAAGCUGCGGACUUGCAUAUAUAUGUGAGUGGUAGGAGAGCAUUGUGUUUGCGCAGAAGGUGUAUUGUGAGAUAUGCUGGAGCGGGCACAAGAGACCAUGUUGGCAUGAGUAACGAUAAUGCGGGUGAGAAACCCGCACACCAUAAGCCCAAGGAUUCCUGAGUAAAGUUAAUCUGCUCAGGGUUAGUCGGUCCCUAAGGUAUAGCGAUAAGGCGAAGCUGAUGGGAAUCAGGUUAAUAAUCCUGAACCUGAGUAUUGAGUGAAGGAGUGACGCGACGGUGCUGCAAGGACAGCUGUUGGAAUAGCUGUUGAAUGCAGGUAGGAAGUGGGGCAGGUAAAUCCGUUCCACAAAUAUUCCGAGAUGCAGGACGAGGCGUAAGCCGUAAAGCUUGUUUAGAGACGUUGCCGAGAAAUAGCUUCUAGCGUUAAUCAAUAUUCAGACCGUACCGCAAACCGACACAGGUGGGCGAGGAGAGUAUCCUAAGGUGUUCGAGUGAACUCUGGUUAAGGAACUAGGCAAAAUUACCCCGUAACUUCGGGAGAAGGGGUGCCCCGUUAUCGUGAUUAGUCAGCGCUAUGAGCGAGAGGGGGCCGCAGUGAAUAGGCCCAAGCGACUGUUUAUCAAAAACACAGGUCUAUGCGAAGGCGAAAGCCACGGUAUAUAGACUGACACCUGCCCGGUGCCGGAAGGUUAAGUGGAGAGGUUAGCCUGCACUAAUUUUAUCAUUGUGAAGAGGGAAAAGUGAAGAAUGUAUAAUUUACAAUGUAUAAUGAAUGUGAGAGAUGGUGAAAUUAGUGCAGGCGAAGCUUCGAAAUGAAGCCCCGGUAAACGGCGGCCGUAACUAUAACGGUCCUAAGGUAGCGAAAUUCCUUGUCGGGUAAGUUCCGACCUGCACGAAUGGUGUAACGAUUUGGGCGCUGUCUCAACCAGGGACUCGGUGAAAUUGAAGUAGCGGUGAAGAUGCCGCUUACCCGCGAACGGACGGAAAGACCCCGUGAACCUUUACUGUAGCUUGGCAUUGUAAAUUGGUGCAGUAUGUGUAGGAUAGGUGGGAGGCUAUGAGGCGUGCACGCCAGUGUGCGCGGAGCCAGCGUUGAAAUACCACCCUUAUUGUAUUGAUUUACUAACGAUAGAGCAACUAUUGGACAUUGCCAGGUGGGCAGUUUGACUGGGGCGGUCGCCUCCGAAAGAGUAACGGAGGCUUACCAAGGUUCCCUCCGGCUGGUUGGUAAUCAGCCAUAGAGCGCAAAGGUAUAAGGGAGCUUAACUGCGAGACCGACGGGUCGAGCAGGUGGGAAACCAGGUCUUAGUGAUCCGGCGGUUCUGAAUGGAAGGGCCGUUGCUCAAAGGAUAAAAGGUACUCCGGGGAUAACAGGCUGAUACCGCCCAAGAGUUCAUAUCGACGGCGGUGUUUGGCACCUCGAUGUCGGCUCAACUCAUCCUGGGGCUGAAGAAGGUCCCAAGGGUUCGGCUGUUCGCCGAUUAAAGAGUUACGCGAGCUGGGUUCAGAACGUCGUGAGACAGUUCGGUCCCUAUCCUUCGUGGGCGCAGGAAAUUUGAGGAGCACUGCAUUUAGUACGAGAGGACCGGUGUGGACGAACCUCUGGUGUACCGGUUGUGAUGCCAAUUGCAUUGCCGGGUAGCCAAGUUCGGUUAGGAUAACCGCUGAAAGCAUCUAAGCGGGAAGCCAGCUCCGAGAUAAGAUUUCCCUAUAGAGAGGUUGGAGACGACAACCUUGAUAGGUUACAGGUGUAAGCGCAGUAAUGCGUUGAGCCGAGUAAUACUAAUAACUCAAUUGGCUUUCACCUU
rfam:Candidatus Cloacamonas acidaminovorans str. Evry provisional genome sequence from WWE1 candidate division